UACGUAGGGUGCAAGCGUUUGUCCGGAAUUAUUGGGCGUAAAGAGCUCGUAGGCGGUUUGUCGCGUCUGCUGUGAAAAUCCAGGGCUUAACCCUGGACCUGCAGUGGGUACGGGCAGACUAGAGUGCGGUAGGGGAGAUCGGAAUUCCUGGUGUAGCGGUGAAAUGCGCAGAUAUCAGGGAGGACACCGGUGGCGAAGGCGGAUCUCCUGGGCCGUAACGACGCUGAGGAGCGGAAAGCAUGGGGAGCGAACAGG
rnacentral:rRNA from 1 species